rnacentral:rRNA from 1 species
AACGAACGCUGGCGGCAUGCUUAACACAUGCAGGUCGAACGAGACCUUCGGGUCUAGUGGCGCACGGGUGCGUAACGCGUGGGAAUCUGCCCUUUGCUACGGAAUAACUCAGAGAAAUUUGUGCUAAUACCGUAUAAUGUCGAAAGACCAAAGAUUUAUCGGCAAAGGAUGAGCCCGCGUAGGAUUAGCUAGUUGGUGAGGUAAAGGCUCACCAAGGCGACGAUCCUUAGCUGGUCUGAGAGGAUGAUCAGCCACACUGGGACUGAGACACGGCCCAGACUCCUACGGGAGGCAGCAGUGGGGAAUAUUGGACAAUGGGCGAAAGCCUGAUCCAGCAAUGCCGCGUGAGUGAUGAAGGCCUUAGGGUUGUAAAGCUCUUUUACCAGGGAUGAUAAUGACAGUACCUGGAGAAUAAGCUCCGGCUAACUCCGUGCCAGCAGCCGCGGUAA